AUUGUGACAACGCAUUUAAAACUAAUAAAGAUUUAAUGGACCAUUUGAGAUUAAUUAAUUCAAUGAAGUUUGAAAUAGAGAGCCUUGCCAUGGGAAAUAUGAAUUCUACAUUUGCAAUUUUAGCAAGGCUGUUGAUCUGCAAUUAUUUAAUUAUGUCAAUAAAAUCAAGAUUACCAAGUUAUAACCUUUUGUUUUUAGAUUUUGAGAGCUGGAAAUCCAAUAUUGAAUGUUUCAACAAAUGCUCCUAUGUUUUCAAAAGUAGACAUGCAAGUACUGUUAACGAAAUAGUGUCUUAUAAGUGUAAUAGGAGUAAAAUAAGUCAUGUUCUUAAAUCGAAUGAUCAAAGAAGUAGAUUAUUAAAAAGUGCCGGAUCAUGUAAGAUGAGUAGUGCUUGUACUAGUGAGAUCAAAGUGAUGAAAGAAAAUAACAAAGUUGUUGUACAAUGGCAAAAAGUCCAUUAUGGUCAUAAGGUUGAGAUACAACACAUUAGAUUGCCACAGAGAGAAAAACAAGAUGUUGCCCCAAAGAUUAUAAAUGGUGUUGUAUCUCAAAGAAUUUUAGAAUAUACACGAGAUGAUAUUGGGGCGCAUUUGAAGCGAAUAGAUUUGUUGACAUUAAAAGACAUCCAAAAGCAGUUAUGGUCUUGAGAUAAAGGAUGGCAAGAGAGACUCAAAUGAUGCUUUAUCUGUAGCACUUUGGGUACGAGAAUGUGAACGUCUCAAAGAUAACCCAAUUUUAUUCUAUAAAGCACAAGGAAAUGAGCAUGAUAUUUAAAAAAAAGACGAUUUUUGUUUAAUAGUAAUGAACACGUUCCAAAAACAAAUGAUUCAACAAUUUCCAUAUACAAUAACCAUUGAUAGUACCCAUGGGCUGAAUGGGUACGACUUUGAACUAACAACCAUUAUGGUACUAGAUGAAUACCAUCAUGGGUUUCCUGUUGCUGAAAUGUUUACAAAUAGGAAAGAUACCGUAGUGCAAAGUAUUUUCUUUUCAGCAAUAAAGAAGUCAGUAGAUAUGGCUGAAGUAUUUUUCAAUGCGUGGUUUGGGCUGAUGGAACUACCUUGUCCUUAACAUUUAUAUUGCUCUUGGCACGUUGACAGGGCAUGGCAGAACAAUUUAAGUAAAAUUGCUGACAAAGACAAACGUGCGGAAAUAUACAAAAUAUUAAAAAAUUUACAGCAAGAAACAUCCGAAGCAAAUUUUGCUUCAGCUUUAGACGAUGCUCUAAGUUACAUGCAUAACAACGAAAAAACGACAUGUUUUGGUGAAUACUUUACCAAUACUUAUAGCCACAAUUUUAGAAAAUGGGCCUACUGUUUUAGAGGAGAUUCUAUCAUUAACACUAAUAUGCAUUUGGAAUCUAUGCACAAAACUAUAAAAUAUUUUUACUUGGAUAGAAAAACUGUAAAACGCCUGGAUAAAGGUUUAAACGCUGUAUUAAAGUAUGUUCGUGAUAAAAGUGUUGAAAGGAUCAUCAGAUUAGUCAAAAGUGAACAUACUAAACAAACAAGGUUAUUAUGUCAGAAUCACCAAAAAGCACUGAAAACUAGGAAUGAAUAUGUUUUAUCAAAAAAUCGUACAAAUUGGAUAAUUUUUAAAAAUGGAAAUAGUAGUUCGUAUUAUACUAUUAAUCAGGUAUUACAGUCAAAAUGCUGUCAACAAAUAUGCUUGUUUUGUGACACAUGUAGUCAUAUGUUUUCUUGUGAGUGCAAUUACUAUAAAGAGCGGAAGGCUAUGUGUAAACAUAUUCAUAUAGUAAUAGCAGCAUUUGGUAAUAAGAAAACAGAAGAUGGUCCAAUAAUCGGUUCUAUUGAUAGUGCUGAUAAAGAAAUAUCAAUCCAGGAAGGUCUAUCAGCUAUCUCGCAAAAAAAUGAAAAAGAAAUAUCAAUCCAGGAAGGUCUAUCAGCUCUCUCGCAAGAAAAUGAAAAAGAAAUAUCAAUCCUGGAAGGUCUAUCAGCUCUCUCGCAAAAACAUGAAAAUUCUAGUACAAAAAUAAGUCACAUUAACACUCUUUUAGGAAAAUUACAAAGUAUAGAUUUUCACAAAAAGUCUUCUAAAAGAUAUAUUGAU